rnacentral:sRNA from 1 species
AAACGGGACAGAUCGUGGUCCGUACUGUGUGCGCCUCGACGACGACCAUGUGUCUACUUGACCCUCUGUUGCUUCGGCAGGACCGCCAGAGGGGAGCAGCGCUCCCGCCGGCCGCCGGGGGGUUCUUGAACGACCCCGGGCCCGCGCCUGCCGACGGCCCUCCUACAUAACUUCGUGCCUAAACGUGUAUGUCUGAGUGAGCAUAAAAUUCAAAAAUAGCAAAAACUUUCAACAACGGAUCUCUUGGUUCUGGCAUCGAUGAAGAACGCAGCGAAAUGCGAUAAGUAAUGCGAAUUGCAGAAUCCGUGAGUCAUCGAAUCUUUGAACGCAUAUUGCGCCCUUUGGUAUUCCGAAGGGCAUGCCUGUUCGAGCGUCAUUAUCACCCCUCAAGCUCGGCUUGUUGUUGGAACGUGGUGCCCGCAGUGCGGGCCGCCCUUCCCAAAGAUAAUGACGGCGUCUGCGAGGAUUCCUGUACACUGAGCUUUCGGGCACGUACUAGGCUUACUCCUCCGGACCCCGGUCGCACGUAAAUCUUACACUUCUAAGGUUGACCUCGGAUCAGGUAGGGAUACCCGCUGAACUUAAGCAUAUAUAAGCCGGGAAGAAACACAUGAUAGAGUAGGGGUGUUCCCAUCUGUGGCGCACGCCUCCGACCCUUUGUCUACUGACCCUAUGUUGCUUCAGCCGGUCCGCCGGCGGG